AUGAAUUGUAUAUCAGCGGUUGAAGGGCUACAAUGGUGGUCUCAUGGCGCCACAUUUUGUGAUGACAUGCGUGUUCUUGAGCUGGGCGCAUAUGACGCAGUGUUGGGCAUGGAUUGGUUAUCCAAAUGUGGGUUGAUGACUUGUGACUGGGCUGGCAAGGUCUUGCAAUUCAAGCAUCAGGGGGCUGUAGUUACUCUCAAGGGUGUGGCAUCCAAGUCAACUUCUGCCCUACAAGAGAUGAGUGUGGAGCAAUUGGAUAAGUGGAUAUCGGGGAAUGAAGUUUGGGCUAUGGCUGUCAUUGACUCUAUUCCAGCAACAGAAUCUUCCGCAGGCGCAUCUACUCCUGUAGCACCUGAUUUACAAUUGUUGUUAGAUGCCUAUGCAGAUGUGUUUCAGGCACCCAAGUCCUUACCACCCCAUCAUGCCUUGGAUCAUGCAAUUACCCUCGAGAUAGAUGCAAGGCCAAUCAAUACUCGUCCUUAUAGGUAUUCACCUCUUCACAAGGACGAGAUUGAGCGCCAAGUAACUGAGAUGUUGGAAGCUGGGAUAAUUAUACCGUCCAUGAGUCCUUAUGCCUCACCGGUGCUUCUGGUCAAGAAGAAAGAUAAUACAUGGCGUUUUUGUGUGGAUUACGGGCGGUUAAAUGAUGCCACGGUAAAGAACAAAUUUCCCUUACCAAUAGUGGACGACCUCUUGGACGAAUUGGCAGGCACUAAGUUCUUCUCCAAGCUGGAUCUUCGGGCAGGCUAUCAUCAGAUUCGAAUGCGUGAGGAAGAUGAACCCAAGACCGCAUUCAAAACUCACCAUGGCCAUUUCCAGUUUCGAGUUAUGCCAUUUGGUUUGACCAACGCACCAGCUACUUUCCAAUGCGUGAUGAAUUCCAUAUUUGCCAAGCAUCUGCGCAAGUUCCUAAUUGUCUUCCUAGAUGAUAUUCUGAUAUAUAGUGCUUCUUGGGCAGAGCAUCUUGAUCAUCUUCGCCAAGUUCUUGAACUGUUGCGCCAACACCAACUAUUUGCCAAGCUGUCCAAAUGCUCAUUUGGUCAAUCUAGCAUCAACUAUUUGGGACACAUCAUCUCUGAUGCAGGGGUUGCUACAUAUCCUGAGAAAACUUCUGCAAUGGCUCGGUGGCCUAUUCCAAACACUGUCACUGAAUUGAGGGGAUUUUUGGGCCUCACCAGCUAUUACAGGAAAUUUGUGAAGAACUAUAGUUGGAUAUCAAAGCCUCUUACUCGACUGCUUACGAAGAAAGGUUUUCAGUGGAAUGAGCAAGCUCAACAAGCAUUUGAGGCUCUGAAGGUAGCUAUGAUCAAUACUCCAGUUCUAGCUCUACCUAACUUCUUCACUUCCUUUACCAUUGAAACCGAUGCUUGUGCAACGGGCGUGGGUGCGGUCCUGACGCAGAAUGGCCAUCCAGUAGCCUAUUUGAGUAAAGCACUUGGUAUCCAGAACAGCAAGCUAUCAAUAUAUGAAAAAGAGUUUUUAGCCGUGAUUAUGGCCAUUGAUCGUUGGCGCACAUAUCUGCAAAGAGGACCUUUUGUGAUUCUUACUGAUCACAAGUCCUUAUGCACCUUAUCUGAACAACAAUUGGGCACUGAUUUGCAGCGAAAAGCAAUGGCUAAAUUGAUGGGUUUGCAGUUUCAAUUUCGCUAUAGGCGUGGAGUGGACAAUGGUGCAGCUGAUUCUCUCUCUCGGGUUGGGCAUAAAAUGGGAUGCCAAGCGUUGUCAGUUUGUCAACCUGGUUGGAUUCUGGAUGUUACCCAUACUUAUGAAUUGGAUGUUGUUGCGCAAGAUUUACUCGCCCAGCUUGCCAUUCAUUCUCCUAAUGAGAAGGGUUUUUCUCUGGAUAGUGGCCGUAUUAAAUACAAAGGUCGUAUCUACAUAGGUGCGAAUUUAGCAUUGCAAACUCAGUUAAUUGAUGCCCUCCAUAACAGCCCAAUUGGUGGUCAUUCGGGGAUUCAGGCUACAUACCAACGCUUACGCAAGCUAUAUUACUGGGUCGGUAUGAAAGCUGCUGUUGAAAACUUUGUACACCAGUGUCAAGUUUGUCAACAGGCUAAACCUUUGCACACGAAGCCGGCUGGUCUUCUUCAGCCCUUGCCUAUCCCACAACAACCAUGGGAGGAUCUUACUAUGGACUUUAUCGAGAGUUUACCAUUGUCGGAAGGUUAUGACACUAUAUUGGUGGUGGUUGACCGUUUCACUAAAUAUGCCCAUUUUCUACCCCUUCGACAUCCGUUCACUGCAAGUUCUGUAGCAAAAGUGUUCUUGGAUUCUAUUGUCAAACUUCAUGGAGUCCCUCACUCAAUCAUCUCUGAUCGUGAUAAGAUUUUCACCAGUGCCAUGUGGCGUGACAUCUUCAAGGCUGUGGGUUCCAAGCUCAGUUAUAGCACCGCUUAUCACCCUCAAACCGAUGGUCAGAGCGAGCGGGUGAAUCAAUGUGUCGAACAAUAUCUUCGUUGUGCUGUUCAUGACCGACCUGGCAAAUGGAGGUCAUGGUUGCCCAUGGCCGAAUUCUGGUACAAUUCCAGUUUUCAUACUUCUACUGGAUGCUCUCCUUUCAAAGCUCUCUAUGGUAGAGAUCCUAACUUCGGUGGCAUGCCUAAUGUUUCGUUGGCUGUUGAGCAUCUUCCUUCCGGUUUGGCCCUCCCUUCCCAGGAUCAUAUUGAGCAGUUGCGUGCCCAUCUACUCCGUGCACAAGAGCGUAUGAAGAAACAAGCUGAUAAACAUCGUUCUGAGAAGGUGUUUCAGGUGGGCGAUUCCGUGCUCUUGAAGCUGCAACCAUAUGCUCAGUCUUCCAUUGUCAAUCGUCCCUGCCCUAAAUUGGCUUUCAAAUAUUUCGGGCCUUUCAAGAUUGCUACUCGUAUUGGUGCUGUGGCUUAUCGCCUAAUUCUUCCGGAGGGUUGUCAAGUUCACCCGGUGUUUCAUGUUUCCCAGUUGAAAGAAUUCAAUCCAAGUUUUGCUCCUAAUUUUCAGUCUCUGCCACCUCCACGUGUGUUCCAGGAUUGUUCAGCUCAGCCGUGCAUCAUUUUGCAACGAAGGAUCGUUCAAAAAGGUAACGAACCUGUGGUUCAAAUCCUUGUGCAGUGGUCAUCGUUGCCGGAGGAUUGUGCCACCUGGGAGGACUAUUAUGUUCUUCGCCGUCGUUUUCCAACUGCUCCUAUUUGGGACGAGGUUCUUCGCCGUCGUAUUGUGAUCCGUUUGACAACUAACAGGUUCAGAGGCGCAUCAAGGCAGGGUGUGUGUGUGUGUGUGUGGGGCCUGCGUGCCAGCGUGUAA
rnacentral:rRNA from 1 species